UCUAUAACAGUUUGGGAUCCCACUCCUUGUGGGUUUUUGUUUCGAUGACGCUUCAGCCAUGUCAGGAAACAGAUGAGGGGAGGGGUACAUGUCCUACUAAAGCAAACAUUUAAGCAAGCGGUAUAUGUGCAUUGCAACUCCCACCGUUUGAAUUUGGAUCUGUGCACCGCGGCACAAGUGUCGGGACAUGUCAGUACUUCUUUUGACACAGUAAACCAGCUACACACGUUUCUGAGUGGAUCCCACAGACAUGCUGGAUUCAUAAAGAGUGAGACCCUCCGGACCCAGAGCCGUUCUACCAGUCCCCGGGCCAUGACAGGUCACCAGUACCUGUUGGGAUGGAGAAGGGGAACGUGGUCUACUUCAUUGACUCAGCCACAAAAACCUCCUACUUCACCUGCUCUCACGUGGGGGGGAGCUGGGGGCUCAUCAAGAGCUCCACCUCCUGUGCCACGCAUCAGGACCAGUCCUUUGAGUCACGCUUCGAGAGUGGCAACCUGCAGAAGGCAGUUCAAGUCGGUGUCCAUAACUACAAGCUCACCCUGCACACUGAUAUGUACACCACCAAGCACACGCAGUGGAGAGUACUUCUGGGUCAGAAACAUGAAGGCUAGCCGUCUGUACUGCACAGGCAUGAGGUCCAUGCUCUACUCUGAGAUAGCCGCCUGGGAGAAGGGAGGGCUGGCACCGGACUGCCUCAAACAUCAGUGACGUCGCAGAGAGGAGUGCCAAGCAGGUGGUGGUUGUGACGGCCGGGGUGCAACCCGGGGAGAACAACAGCUCCUGGUUGAUGCAGGGAUUCUUGGACUUCCUGCUGGGAGUCGGACGACACCAGGCAGCUGAGGGAGGUCUUUGUGUUUAAAGUCGCUUAUGCACUUUUGGCUUUUUUAUCUUUGAAAAUAACCAAGUAUUUCAGUUAUGUGUUUGAUUGCUAUGUGGGAUAAUUGUACGUUUUCCAUUCAGAAUUAGAAACGCAUCAUAAAGAGACCCCAUGAUGUUAAUUGUUGUGUUGCUCCCUUGCGGACCUGCAGGUGAUGCCUAUGCUGAACCCAGACGGGGUGGUGGUUGGGGAUCUACUACUGAUCUCUGGCCGGCAGGGACCUGAACAGGAACUACAAGACUCUGCUGAGGGAUUCCUUCCCCUGCGUCUGGCACACCAGGAACAUGGUCAAUAGGCGAGAGGGGGGAAGUGGGAGGAUACUCAAACAGAUGUGAGAGAGUCAUGCCUCUCUAACCCGCGGAGAGGUUUAAGUUCAGUCUGCCUUCUCUGACCUUGUUGCUAUGGUUUCCCAUCUGUCCUUGUUGUUGUCAUUGCACCCAAAACUGAUGGCUGAGAGAGAUGUGGUGCUGUAUUGAUUUUCACAGUCAUAGUUGUAAGAACAAUGUCUUCUUGUGCGGCUGUACCAACCGCGAUGAUGCCACACAAUGGCUCCAUGAGAGAAUCUUCCCUCCCAUGAUGAGCAAGAACGUCAAUGACAAGGUUCGAAUCCCAUUGUGUUAAAGAAAAUCUUGGCCAACGGUAGCUGUGGUCAGAGAGAAGAGAGAGAGAAGGUAUGGAUGAGAGAGAAGCUCACUCUUCCUCAUUUGUUUAGACUGAUUGUGGCUUGUGCAUUACCCCAGAACCUCAUUUCUAAAGACAGUACACUCCUGGAUCCCCCAUCCCACCACUGGGUGUCAUAGGCCAUGUGACCCUCUGGCAGGAGGAGUCAGAGAAGAAUGAAUACCUGGAGGCUGAGGGCUGCAUACCUGUUGAGUGGGGCUCGUGCUCACCCUACUCAGCCACCUAUCACAGGUGAAGCAGGCAGCCUCCACAGACAUGGCCAUGACUGUCCAUGGGGAGACCAGACAGUGGCUUAGAUUAGAGGAAGGGCCCCUCAGAGAGAGCCGCUGGGGGGGAAGGGGAGCAGGCAGGCGUGUGUCUGGUGGAGAUGCAGCAGCAGCGAGUCUGAACAACAACCACAGCAGACCUUGAAGAGGAAAUGGGCAUUUUACCACAGAUGUCCUCGACCCCCAAAGUGAGAGUCUACGUAGGCUCCAGAAACUCAGCCUGGCCAAGACCUCCAGGUUCCAAUCCAAUGGGAGACGGGCCGAAGCAGACCUGGAGGAGAGGAUGGUCGCCAGACUGUCAGGGUCUGCCCCUCCUCGCAAUAAAACACCUUUUGAGCUAAGAACCAGGCAGGGAAACACAUGGGCAAAUAUGACAGACUGCUGACAUGAACCCUUGAAGAUGGAUGGAGACUAGAGGGAGAUUCUGCAACUAUUUUGACCAUGGGACAAUAAAGGUAUUUUCACACUGCAUUGUUAUUAGCCCCGGGAUAGCUUAGCACCAGGCUUGACUGGCCCUGAGAUAGCUUAGCCAGUUUCAGCAUUUGUUAGCCCUGGGCUAAGGAUUCACACUUGCAUUCCAAAGCCCUGGUUAACGGACAAACACGCGACCAGCAUUAUAAGCAAUUAACACACAACCAAAGUUAUAAGCCAUUAAACAUCUAUUAACAGCACUUCCUUUUGCUUCUACUUGCCUUGCAUUUGAUUUCCAACAGUGAUGGUUAGUAUAUCUGCCUAUCCGCCAUGGGAAACCAUGUUUCACUUUUGAAAUUCGAUCUUACCCCUGUACAGAGAAUGCUGUGCACAAACGAGACAUCAACUUUCUGAUCCUAGCAAAAACACGCAACAAUAUUAUUAGCAUGGAUAUAUCCAAUUAAAUGUGAGCUCCUGCAAGUCAAACACUGCUCUUAGUCCUGGUCUAAGGUGCAGUGUGAAUGUGCCUUAACAUGUACAGCACAUUGCCUUUCAGAUGGCUAUAGAAAUUACAUUUAUUUUUUGCCUUGAUUGUGUGCCUUUCUUAUUGAGUCUUCAUGUCGCUGUGAACCUAUUUUAACUUUAUAAUAUUUUGUAUACAUUUCAGUGUCAAUGAUUUAUUUUCCGCUUAUCGAUUGAAGGCAUAAUCAGAUUGAAUCACUAUCUAUGCAGUAAAUUAUCUGUUAGAAAACUACAUUCUCAAAAUUCAGUCUUAGUGUUAUUGUAGCAGAAACAUUGUGAAACAGAUACGUCUAAAAACCCAAACCUUUAAUGUCUUCACAUCUGUACAACAACCCCUAAAAAUGAUCAUUCAAGGCACAAAACACAUUGUGCUAAUGUCUGAACAUGGUCCACUGAAAACACAAAGCUGAAUUCUAACUUGAGAUACACUUAAGCAACUCAAAUUUCUCAUAAUCAACAUCAAUAGGAGAUUUACACCCGAGUACCUCUGUCUCUGCAUGUCAGCUCAGCAGACCAGUCAGGCCCUCAGCUCCUGAACCCCAUCAAACUGUCUGAGGUGGAAGUGGCUCUCUGUGUGUCUGACCAUCCCACGUAGAGCCACAAAGCCAG